GGUGAACGCUGGCGGCGUGCUUAAGACAUGCAAGUCGAACGGCAGUCUUCGGACUGUAGUGGCGCACGGGUGAGUAACGCGUAACUGACCUACCCCAAAGUCGCGGAUAACGAUUCGAAAGAAUCGCUAAUACGUGAUGUGCUGUCAGAUUGUGUUCUGCCAGUAAAGAUUGAUUGCUUUGGGAUGGGGUUGCGUUCCAUCAGCUAGUUGGUGGGGUAAAGGCCCACCAAGGCGACGACGGAUAGCCGGCCUGAGAGGGUGGCCGGCCACAGGGGCACUGGGACACGGGUCCCACUCCUACAGGAGGCAGCAGUCAGGAAUCUUCCACAAUGGGCGAAAGCCUGAUGGAGCGACGCCGCGUGAGGGAUGGAGGUCUUCGGAUCGUAAACCUCUGAAUCAGGGACGAAAGACACUUCGGUGGGAUGACGGUACCUGAGUAAUAGCACCGGCUAACUCCGUGCCAGCCGCCGCCGUAACAC
rnacentral:rRNA from 1 species